rnacentral:rRNA from 1 species
CACGUAGGGUGCAAGCGUUGUCCGGAAUCAUUGGGCGUAAAGAGCUCGUAGGCGGCUUAGUAAGUCGGGUGUGAAACCCCCAGGCUCAACCUGGGGACGCCACCCGAUACUGCUAUAGCUAGAGUCCAGUAGGGGAGUGCGGAAUUCCUGGUGUAGCGGUGAAAUGCGCAGAUAUCAGGAGGAACACCGGUGGCGAAGGCGGGUCUCUGGGCCGAUACUGACGCUGAGGAGCGAAAGCGUGGGGAGCGAACAGG